UACGUAGGGAGCGAGCGUUGUCCGGAUUUAUUGGGCGUAAAGGGCGUGUAGGCGGCCUGGUAAGUCGGGGGUGAAAACUCAGGGCUCAACCCUGAGACUGCCUUCGAUACUGCUGGGCUUGAGUGCUCUAGAGGGUAGUGGAAUUGCCGGUGUAGCAGUGAAAUGCGUAGAGAUCGGCAGGAACACCAGUGGCGAAGGCGACUGCCUGGGGAGUAACUGACGCUGAGGCGCGAAAGCUGGGGGAGCAAACGGG
rnacentral:rRNA from 1 species